CUGUGUGCAUGCUUAUGAAGUGCAUGCACAGUAAAAUCCAGUGUAUUCUGGACACCCUGGGCUUUGCUGAGCUUCCUGAAAUGUUAUUCAGCACACAGAGUUCAGCCUGACCCUUGGCACACAGAAGUCAAUGCACCUUCACUUCACAGCACAUGUACUUUGGCUUGGAGUCUGCCAAAUCUUGGGCUAGAACCAACCCCCCAGAUAAACCAGUGGGCUAAUACUAGGGCAAGCACUAUCAACAGGUUUUGUGAUAAAGCCAGUCAAAGAAAAAGACCUACAGCCACUGGAAAAUCUCCAAAGGUGGAAGAGAAAGCAGAGGUGAAGUCAACCCAAAUCAGUCUCAUAAUUAAUUGCAUCUCUCUAUGAAUUGAGAUCUGAAGGAGAAGAUGAGAGAGAAUUAUUUUCAAGGGUGCAGCUGGAAGAAUGAAAAUAAAAGCUAAG